UUGCUUCAUUCUAUGUGCACGUCAAUCUAACCUGUCCUUUUACUGUCAAAUCAACCUCAACUUUACACAAACAUUUUAUAAUUUUGUUUACAAAAUUCAUCACCAAAUUCAUUAAACCAUGUUCAGUUCAAUGCCCCCGUGUCAGAGGGAGAAAGGUUUAGAGAAACUGCUUCCCUACUUGUGUAUAUCAGCGGGACUGGUCGGGUUGCUCUGGGUCACUCUCAGCAUUGUAGGUGUCCGAUACAGGAGUGAGCUGCAGGCUUGGACUGAUUUUAAAUCAUGGUAAUCUGAAGGCCUAGCACGGGGGGCAAGACACGCCAGACAAGACGACCACAUCGCGCGGCCUCGAGAUCGAGCGUGACCGGGAUUUUUGUCACACUUUUUUGGCGCGGCCUGCACCCUGUGCUAGGUAGACUGACGAGCUGUUCCACUGAAGAAUACUUAGGUACCUACAUACAAUAUUAUUCGAUGUGUUUUGUCACAUAAUGUUACAUAUUUUUGGUAUUAUUAUAGCAUGAUGUUAUCGAGAACCAAACUUAUUCUUCAUUAUAAUGAGUGAUGCUUGUUAUGUUAGUGUUUCAGUAAACCAUUUUUCAUUUUUA